rnacentral:lncRNA from 1 species
GAUUCCAUAGAGUAACAGCAGCCGACCACCCUGAGAGUGGAGGGAGAAGCCAGGGGUUGUCGAGAAUGAGCCCCGAGGGUAAGGUCGAUUCGCAUUCCUCCGUCUUUUCGAUCUUUGGUAUCCUAUGGAGAUCGAUCCCUCGAUGGGUUUUCGGUGGGUAGGGUUUGGAAUCGCAGCUCGUCGGACUAGAAAUCCGACGAGGAAGAAGCCAUGGCCAUCACAGGUUCUUCAACUCGUCCCUCUCUCUGCUUGUGUGCCACGCGUAACUAGCUUUCGUGCUUGAUUCGGUCUGUUCAUAUGCGACGGAAUUGAGAAGGUCGAAAUUUGGAGUCGACGGGUUUAGGGUUUUUCAUGGAAAGUGUUUCUUGGUAGUAUUGAUCAUUGAUCGAAGGUAUGGAUCUUUGAAGUGCGAUAUGAUCGGAGCAAACGGGUUUCGUCAUGAUAUUGCUACAUCAUUCACUUAUGAUGAAAUUUGGACAGUUAGGGUCAUGAUAUGAUCUAUUUAGGGCUUCUGGUUUGCCUGAUUACUCUCAGGAGGGCUUUAUUGGACUUCUUAAACAAAUGGUGAAAAUUAUAAUUUCUGUAUAGUAGUUUUCUGUGAGAUCUGUGAUUCUAGCUAGAUCAGAAUAUGUUACAUUUUUCAUUGUAUAAUGUACUAAAUAUUAUGACAAUAUUAGUACCAUAGGAGCUCUACUUGAUGAUCUAAUCGACACGGGUCUUUUCGGAUUGAACUGGAUUUUUGAAUCAAUAUUUGUUGUGGUGGAUUGGAAACGUUCACUUGUUUGGAAAGCUUGGCGAAUUCUUAGAAUACUUAGUAUUCUAACUAUCUGAAUUGAUCAAACUGAGAACACUUAGGCGAUCAUAGGCCACUUCUAACUGUCUGAACUCCAUUCUGCAUGAACAGAUCCAACCAAGAUCUAUUCGAUUCAGCAUACAUGUUUAAUCUGACUUGCAUCCAAUCGGUUCAAGAGACACGCCAACAGAACAAGAGAAACAAUGGCUGGGAGGAGGAGAAGAACCUCGAUGGUAAAUCUCAACUGUUGGGACUUGUUCUUGUUCAUAUUCUUGAGUGUCGUUCUUGACUCUGCAUGAAGCCGCAUCUGGAAAUCUUUCCAAUAUGGUUGCACACAUAAGAUCUUGUAUUGAUGGAAGCCUCAUGCGCAUUCAUAUAUUAAAGAUGUUUAGAGUUGGAGUUCUUUUGCAUAUAUAUUUAAAGAGUUGGAGUUCCUUUAUAUAUGGAUGUAAACAUCUUUGGUGCUAUCUUUCUGAAGGCCAACUUGGCAGGUAGAUAUCAUUGUUCGAGCUAAAUGGUUUUUCUAAGCUAAUCAGUAUGGUUGGUUGCUUUGGUUUGGUUGUUUGAUUCCUCUUAAAAGUUUUUAUGCUUACUUAUUUGGAGAUAUGGUUGGUGCUGAAAGUGCUUCUACAUCCGACAUUAAGUGAACAACCUCAUAGUAAUUACUUCAAUAGCUAGGUUGAAGUUGUUGUAGCUUAAUAUUCUUUGUGAUCAUGGUACCUCAGAUUCAUUUUUGAUAUAUAGCUGCAAUCUCCUAUUUAACAGAAUAUUCCGCUCUAGAGCAAAAAAUAUAAUGACACUCCAGUUGGUUCAACACUAUUUUUACCUUCUACAACAAUGAUUUUGAAACCUGAGAAACUUUGUCACAGAUGUAUAUUGUGUUUUUGGUUUCUAUCUGAGUCAUGUCAUCUAUUAAUAUGCUUCAUGGGUAUGCUGGUGCUCGGUAGUCAUGUUAAAUUAUUGAUCACUGCUAGUCUAAAAACUUAAUUUACCAGCUUGUGAAAGCAACUAAGAGAGCAUCGUUAUCAUCUUUAUGGCACAAUCAGAUUUGAAAAAUCCUUGCCAAAAAUUAGAUUGUACAUUUGACCUGUUGCUUGGUUCAACUUGAUUAAUUACUAAAUUGAUAAGAACAGAUGUUCAACUUGCUCCAAUUCAAAGGGCAGAUAAAGGUAUAAUCUGCUGUGAGAAAGUGUUGGAAGAUACCAUUUGUCAUACCGGUCAAGCUUAUUACUAUAGCAUUUAUGAUUGACAUAUCUGAAUGACAAAAUGCAAUUUUAUUUCAUGUUAGGUUUUGGAACUCCAAUAUUCUUAGACUACAAUUCUUGUGAUCAAAUAAUCAGCUUUGAAGUCAUGCAUUAAUGACACUUGUAAUUUUCCAAUCUUGAUAUGCAAACUCUGCUAUCUACUUUAGCAAUCUUACGUUAUGGCUCGAUGGUUUCUAGUCUUCAAAUUGGAUACUCUACUGUGCAUUUACAUGACAUUUUCCUAACUUGGUUAGGAGUUUGCCUGUGUCAAUCUGUACUCAUGAAUUAGAUAUGAUAAAACAUGAUAUGAGUUGAUAUACAGAAAAAUCUGGGUAUCUUUUGGGUAGUCGAUCAUUUCUCUAAUGAUGCUUACAAAUAUAUUCUCUAAUGACCUGAUAGUGUAAUUAUUUCCUUCCAUAUGGCAAAUAAUAUUCCUCAAUCUAGUGUUUAUUGCACUUUUGCUAAUUAGCUUUUCAGUUUUUGUUGAUGGUGGAUUUCAAUGUCGAUAAAAAUUGAUACCUUGCUGCCAACCAAAGCAACAAGGAAAGCAUCUACUCAAGAAUUUGUAUGCGGAAAGUAUGCAAAUUAGGCUACUACGACAGCGAUAUUGCUGGCGAGAUGCACUUGAUGGGAUUGUCUCAACAUCAACAAUCUUAAAUUCAGAAAGAAUAGUUCCCAUCAAAAAACAGAGUACGUUUCUUCUUCUUCUUACUCUAAUUAGUCUGCUAAUGAUUUAUGCUUGAAGUCUCUAGUACCAAAGAUCCCAAUCCAUUCAUAUCAUCUCCUUGUAUGCAUAAUUGGUAGUAUAUUAUUGUGUACCAAAUGCAUCUCAGCUUAACUUGAGAAAUCAUUUCUUGUUUUUGUUUUAAUCGAGUAUUCUGCAUCAUCUAAAGGAGAAGAGCAAAUUUAGUUCAAAUUCAACAUUGCCUGCUUCUUGUCUGAAUAAAUGUCUCUGUAAGACUGGCUUGGGCACCACCGAUGGGACGAUCAAUUAGAACGUGUGGACUCUGUCGUGCCUCACUCCUUGAUAAGUCAAACCAGGAAUUUAUAGCAACUACCAAAAAGGGUUGUGUUAUGUCCCGACUUAACUCGUGAGGCAUCCAGAUUGCGCCCGUGAGUUAUGUCAGGACAUAACGAGUACAAGAAAUAAUGAGAUAUACUUGCGCAAGAAUUCCAUUUGUGCAUGAUUUGGCAGACAUAGAUUACGUCAAUCUCCACUUCAGGCCCACUAUGGAAUCUUCCAUGAGAAACAUUCCUCCCUGGCGGGUCAGCAGUGGUUUCAAAGGUUGACCACCACUGUGGACCGUUGACAAAAGUCA